rnacentral:rRNA from 1 species
UACGGAGGGUGCGAGCGUUGUCCGGAAUCACUGGGCGUAAAGGGCGCGUAGGCGGCCAUCUAAGUCAGACGUGAAAUCCCCCGGCUUAACCUGGGAACUGCGUCUGAUACUGGACGGCUCGAGUUUGGGAGAGGGAUGCAGAAUUCCAGGUGUAGCGGUGAAAUGCGUAGAUAUCUGGAGGAAUACCGGUGGCGAAGGCGGCAUCCUGGACUAAUACUGACGCUGAGGCGCGAAAGCUAGGGGAGCAAACGGG